rnacentral:rRNA from 1 species
GACGAACGCUGGCGGCGUGCUUAACACAUGCAAGUCGAACGGAAAGGCCGUGCUUUUGUGGGGUGCUCGGGUUGCGAACGGGUGAGUAACCCGUGAGUACCCUGCCCUUGACCUUGGGAUAACUUCAUGACACUGGGGCUCAUCCCGGCUAAGAGCUCCUGCUGCAUGGUGGGGGUUGGUAAGUUUCGGCGGUUGGGGAUGGACUGGCGGCGUAUCAGCUUGGUGGGUGGGUAGUGGCUGACCAAGGUUUUGAACGGUAGCAGGCCUGCGAGGGGCACCGGCCAAACUGGGCUUGAGAUGCGGCACAGACUAGAACGGUAGGCAGCAGAGGAGAAGAGUGCACAAUGGGCGGAAGCCUGAUGCAGCAACGCCGCGUGGGGGAUGACGGGCUGCGGGUUGGAAACCGAUGUCGCCUGUGACGAAGCGUGAGUGACGGUAAUGGGUAAAGAAGCACCGGCUAACUACGUG